rnacentral:lncRNA from 1 species
GCUACCCAGUUUCACCCUUGGAAUUUGGACAUCGUCUUUCUCCGCCAUUCCUUUGCUGUAAUGUUCUUUGCAAAAUGUUCCCCGUUCUUUUCGGUUCGAAUAGUGAUUUGGUUCAAACUGAGGUUGGUGGGAGUGAGAAUGUGAGACAUCUUGGUGGGUCGAUUCCAACUGGGGUAGGUGAAUGUGAGACACCAUUGACCCUGACUAACAACAAUGAAAAGCAAACUGAGGUUGGUGGGAGUGAGAAUGUGAGACAUCUUGGUGGGUCGAUUCCAACUGGGGUAGGUGAAUGUGAGACACCAUUGACCCUGACUAACAACAAUGAAAAGCAAAAAUCUUGCACCAGCC